AACAUUUUCAUCAAUCCCACAAUUUUAUCAAAUUUCAUGAGUUUAACAACAACAUAUUCAUUAUUCAAACAAUUCAAUAAAAUUUCAUCGUUUUAAUAGCAAAAUUUUCAUCAUUCACACAAUUCAAUCAAAUUUCUUGGGUUUAACAACAACAAUUUCAUCAUGCGCACAUUUUAACCAAUUUUCAUGAGUUUAACAACAACAAUUUCAUCAUUUUCACAAUUCAAUCAACUUUCAUGGGUUUAAC
rnacentral:lncRNA from 1 species